CCUACGGGUGGCAGCAGUAGGGAAUAUUGCUCAAUGGGGGAAACCCUGAAGCAGCAACGCCGCGUGGAGGAUGAAGGUUUUCGGAUUGUAAACUCCUUUUGUUAGAGAAGAGAAUGACGGUAUCUAACGAAUAAGCACCGGCUAACUCCGUGCCAGCAGCCGCGGUAAUACGGAGGGGGCAAGCGUUCCUCGGAAUCCCUGGGCGUAAAGAGCGCGUAGGCGGGAUAGCAAGUCAGAUGUUAAAUCCUAUGGCUUAACCCUAGAACUGCAUUUGAAACUGUUAUUCUAGAGUAUGGGAGAGGUAGGUGGUAUUCUUGGUGUAGUGGUUACAUCCGUCGAUCUCAUGCGUACUCCUCAUUGCG
rnacentral:rRNA from 1 species